UGGUGGCGGUUUUACCCUUUGUGGCGGCAGAGGGCCCGCCACAUGGUAAGGAUAAGGUGAGAUCAAGCCGGUUACCGUCCUCCAUUCGGUUUUUUCAAAAGAAUAUACGCCCACAAAUAAAUACAAUUUGGUGAAUUUCUUGUAAACCGAACUUUAAGGAACUCAACAGACUGUUUAAAGUUCAAACCGUCAUCCUUAUUCAGUUCACCUACAUAAAACUUAAUAAUGUCAUCCCAGAAAUUACCGGAAAAUGUUGGGGGAUGAAACCCUAGGAGUGAAGGUAGCUGACAAUUGGGAGAAUAGUUGGUAAAGGUGGAAUUUUUGGAUUCGGAGUUUAGGGUUUUU
rnacentral:lncRNA from 1 species